rnacentral:rRNA from 1 species
AUCUAUGGCCAUACCACCCUGAACAUGCCUGAUCUCGUCUGAUCUUAGAAGCUAAGCAGGGUUGGGCCUGGUUAGACUUGGAUG